rnacentral:rRNA from 1 species
UACAGAGGUCCCAAGCGUUGUUCGGAUUCACUGGGCGUAAAGGGUGCGUAGGCGGUCGGGUAGGUCUGACGUGAAAUCUUCAAGCUUAACUUGGAAACUGCGUCGGAUACUAUUCGGCUAGAGGAAUGGAGGGGAGACUGGAAUACUUGGUGUAGCAGUGAAAUGCGUAGAUAUCAAGUGGAACACCAGUGGCGAAGGCGAGUCUCUGGACAUUUCCUGACGCUGAGGCACGAAAGCCAGGGGAGCAAACGGG